UGAUCGACAUAGGAGCCGAAUCGGUGGU
rnacentral:sRNA from 1 species